CCAACAUCUUCUUGAUCAAUUUGCUGUAUACCAACAGAGCUGAUUAUGAACUUCAAGACCACAUUGGAAGUUUCCACUUAGAAAUUUAUACAUUGUUUACUCUCAGAGGAGUAUAUCAGUAGGCAUAAGAACACAUCGUAUACAGAAUGAGUGCUCCAUGGAACACAGUUUGGGGAAUACCGAGAUAAAACUAUUCCUCGCCGUGUAUCAUCAGCGUGUUGGGAGAGUCAUGCAAGAUCAAAAAGACAGAAUAUUAAAAAUUCAGCCAGACACACCAAGGCUGCCCUGAUGAUAACAACCAUGG